rnacentral:rRNA from 1 species
GACGAACGCUGGCGGCGUGCUUAACACAUGCAAGUCGAACGGAAAGGCCCUGCUUUUGUGGGGUGCUCGAGUGGCGAAAGGGUGAGUAACACGUGAGUAACCUGCCCUUGACUUUGGGAUAACUUCAGGAAACUGGGGCUAAUACCGGAUAGGAGCUCCUGCUGCAUGGGGGGGGUUGGAAAGUUUCGGCGGUUGGGGAUGGACUCGCGGCUUAUCAGCUUGUUGGUGGGGUAGUGGCCUACCAAGGCUUUGGCGGGUAGCCGGCCUGAGAGGGUGACCGGGCACAUUAGGACUGAGAUACGCCCCAGACUCCUACGGUAGGCAGCAGUGGGAAGUAUUGCCCAGUGAUCGGAAGCCUGAUGCAGCAACGCCGCGUGCGGGAUGACGGCCUUCGGGUUGUGAACCGCUUUCGCCUGUGACGAAGCGUGAGUGACGGUAAUGGAUAAAGAAGCACCGGCUAACUACGUG